rnacentral:rRNA from 1 species
UUCCUUGUCGGGUAAGUUCCGACCUGCACGAAUGGCGUAAUGAUGGCCAGGCUGUCUCCACCCGAGACUCAGUGAAAUUGAACUCGCUGUGAAGAUGCAGUGUACCCGCGGCAAGACGGAAAGACCCCGUGAACCUUUACUAUAGCUUGACACUGAACAUUGAGCCUUGAUGUGUAGGAUAGGUGGGAGGCUUGGAAGUGUGGACGCCAGUCUGCAUGGAGCCGACCUUGAAAUACCACCCUUUAAUGUUUGAUGUUCUAACGUUGACCCGUAAUCCGGGUUGCGGACAGUGUCUGGUGGGUAGUUUGACUGGGGCGGUCUCCUCCUAAAGAGUAACGGAGGAGCACGAAGGUUGGCUAAUCCUGGUCGGACAUCAGGAGGUUAGUGCAAUGGCAUAAGCCAGCUUGACUGCGAGCGUGACGGCGCGAGCAGGUGCGAAAGCAGGUCAUAGUGAUCCGGUGGUUCUGAAUGGAAGGGCCAUCGCUCAACGGAUAAAAGGUACUCCGGGGAUAACAGGCUGAUACCGCCCAAGAGUUCAUAUCGACGGCGGUGUUUGGCACCUCGAUGUCGGCUCAUCACAUCCUGGGGCUGAAGUAGGUCCCAAGGGUAUGGCUGUUCGCCAUUUAAAGUGGUACGCGAGCUGGGUUUAGAACGUCGUGAGACAGUUCGGUCCCUAUCUGCCGUGGGCGCUGGAGAACUGAGGGGGGCUGCUCCUAGUACGAGAGGACCGGAGUGGACGCAUCACUGGUGUUCGGGUUGUCAUGCCAAUGGCACUGCCCGGUAGCUAAAUGCGGAAGAGAUAAGUGCUGAAAGCAUCUAAGCACGAAACUUGCC